rnacentral:rRNA from 1 species
CCUACGGGAGGCAGCAGUGAGGAAUAUUGGUCAAUGGACGAGAGUCUGAACCAGCAAAGUAGCGUGAAGGAUGACUGCCCUAUGGGUGGUAAACUUCUUUUAUAAAGGAAUAAAACGAGGCACGUGUGCCUUUUUGCAUGUACUUUAUGAAUAAGGAUCGGCUAACUCCGUGCCAGCAGCCGCGGUAAUACGGAGGAUCCGAGCGUUAUCCGGAUUUAUUGGGGUUAAAGGGAGCGUAGAUGGGUUGUUAAGUCAGUUGUGAAAGUUUGCGGCUCAACCGUAAAAUUGCAAUUGAUACUGGCAGUCUUGAGGACAGUUGAGGUAGGCGGAAUUCGUGGUGUAGCGGUGAAAUGCUUAGAUAUCACGAAGAACCCCGAUUGCGAAGGCAGCUUACUAAACUGUGACUGACAUUGAUGCUCGAAAGUGUGGGUAUCAAACAGGAUUAGAUACCCUGGUAGUC